CCUACGGGUGGCUGCAGUGAGGAAUAUUGGUCAAUGGACGAGAGUCUGAACCAGCCAAGUAGCGUGAAGGAUGACUGCCCUAUGGGUUGUAAACUUCUUUUAUAUGGGAAUAAAACGUUCCACGAGUGGGAUUUUGUGUGUACCAUAUGAAUAAGGAUCGGCUAACUCCGUGCCAGCAGCCGCGGUAAUCCGGAGGAUCCGAGCGUUAUCCGGAUUUAUUGGGUUUAAAGGGAGCGUAGGUGGAUAGUUAAGUCAGUUGUGAAAGUUUGCGGCUCAACCGUAAAAUUGCAGUUGAAACUGGCAGUCUUGAGUACAGGAGAGGUGAGCGGAAUUCGGGGUGUAGCGGUGAAAUGCUUAGAUAUCACGAAGAACUCCGAUUGCGAAGGCAGUUCACUGGACUGCAACUGACACUGAGGCUCGAAAGUGUGGGUAUCAAACAGGAUUAGAUACCCGAGUAGUC
rnacentral:rRNA from 1 species